rnacentral:rRNA from 1 species
UUCGAUUCUGGCUCAGAUUGAACGCUGGCGGGAUGCUUUUGCACAUGCAAGUCGAACGGCAGCACGGACUUCGGUCCUGGGUGGCGAGUGGCGAACGGGUGAGUAAUGUAUCGGAACGUGCCUAGUAGCGGGGAUAACCACGCGAAAGCGUAGCUAAUACCGCAUACGCCCUUCGGGGGAAAGCGAGACCUUCGGGCCUCGCACUAUUAAACGGCCGAUAUCGGAUUAGCUAGUUGGUGGGGUAACGGCUCACCAAGGCGAGCGAUCCAUAGCUGGUUUUGAGAGGACGACCAGCCACUGGACCUGGAACAUUGAACUCUGCAGGAGGCAGCAGUGGGGAAUUUUUGGACAAUGGAAACCCUGAUCCAGCCAUCCCGCGUGUACAGUGAAGGCAACCGGGUUGUAAAGCACUUUUGGCAGGAAAGAAACGGCGCAAAAUGUACCCCGUGCAACUGACGACACCUGCAGAAUGGCACCGGCUAACUACGUGCCAGCAGCCGCGGUAAUACGUAAGGUGCAAGCGUUAAUCGGAAUUACUGGGCGUAAAGCAGUGCGCAGGCGGUUCGGAAAGAUGUGGAAUCCCAGAGCUUAGCUUUGGAACUGCAUUUUAACUACCGAGCUAGAGUGUGUCCAAGAGGAGGUGGAAUUCCUGUGUAGCAGUGAAAUGCGUAGAUAUGCGGAGGAACACCGAUGGCGAAGGCAGCCUCCUGGGAUAACACUGGCUUGCUCAUGCACGAAAGCGUGGGAGCAAACAGGAUUGAUACCUGGUAGUCCACGCCUAAACGAUGUCAACUAGCUGUUGGAACCUUCAGGCCUUGGUAGCGCAGCUAACGCGUGAAGUUGACCGCAGAAGUACGGUCGCAAGAUUAAAACUCCAAGGGAAUUGACGGGGACCCGCACAAGCGGUGGAUGAUGUGGAUUAGCCAAUUCUGAUGCAACAUCACCACCGCCGGCAUGUGGAAUGAAAGAGGUCGGGUGCUCUGAAAGAACCGGAACACAGGUGCUGCCUUAAGCUGUCGUCGCUCGUGUCGUGGAUGUUGGGUUAAGUCCCGCAACGAGCGCAACCCUUGUCAUUAGUUGCUACGAAGGGCACUCUGUCGGGGCUGCCGGUGACAAACCGGAAGGUCGAGGAUGACGUCAAGUCCUCGCUGGCCCAUAUGGGUAGACUACACGUCAUACAAUGGUCGGGACGGGGGUCGCCAACCCGCGAGGGAGACCUAAUCCCGAAACCCGAUCGUAGUCCGGAUCGCAGAUCUGCAACUCAGCUGCGUGAAGUCAGAAUCGCCAGUAAUCGCGGAUCAGCAUGUCGCGGUAGACCGGUGCCCAGGUCUUGUACACACCGCCCGUCACUGCAUGGGAGUGGGUUUUACCAGAAGUAGUUAGCCUAACCGUAAAGGAGGGCGAAUUACCACGGUAAGUUCUUGAAGCUGGGGUGAAGUCGUAACAAGA